UGCAGCUUAGCUAUUACAACCACAUUCUCUCACGUCCUGUAAUAGCUAUUCAGUGGUGGGGGUUUUAAAUUGCUAUUCAACACACACGCCGAAUACAUUUUCAGAUUUUGGGACCAAACUAGCCUGCUUUCUUCUCCCCAAAAAUCUACUCCAGAUUUCUUCCAACCUUUUUCUCCAAAUCAAGCAUCCAUCCAUCUGCCCUUCAUCUUCAUCUCCUCAAAGGUACGUUUUCUUUUUUUACUUCAAGCUCCGAUUCUAUUUCUCCUUACUUAUAACUGUUCCAGAUUUCUUGUUUGCGUUUCAAAGUUGAGACCUUUGUUUAGAUUUCUUGUCUCCGAUUCUAAUUCUUCUUUUGCGGCAUAAUUUCAGAUCCCUUGGAAGAAGGUUUUAAGCUUCGCCCCAUUGCUAGUAGAGGGCAGGUAUUAUUUCAAAUUAAUGACAGUUAGUGUUUGCUUGACUGAAGUGCUACACAUUCUGUCUGUUCUCCUGAGUUGAUAAGUUUGCUUUGUUUGCCAGUUGUCAUUAAUUCUGUUUAUGAUGGGUCACCAGUGUGAUUUAGUUUCCUUUAAAUUCUGAACUAAAAUUGGCUUUACAUGUGUAUGUGCUAGUGGUAUUUGAUGUCUCACUGUUGUAGUCUUUGUUUGGUUUAAAAUAUGAGACCCUCAGUUUUAGUUCAGUCGUUUCACGUUCUUUGUUUGAACUAUUAUCAUAUUUUGAUUCAUUUCUUAAUUUUAGCUUUCUUAUUGUACGAGUUCUUUGAUUGCUUUGAAACUGUUGUUAUCUUGGCGUAAUGAAUUCUUUGUGAAAUAAUGUGCAACUUUAAAUGCAAAUAAGAAAUCACAGCUUUUCUUAUGAUGGAAAAAAAAUCUUUUUGUUUCACAUCUGACAGAGGGACAGUCCUCCUGCUUUUGUUUUAGUAUAUAUGUGAUAUUGGCCUAUCAUUCCUUAUUCCUGCUGAGAUACUGGUUAUUCUGUUGAGAAUCAAUUAAUGGUGUAAACCUUUUUCACAGAUAAUGGGUUGAGAUCCCCUUCUCAAACUAAUAGCUGUUGACUGGUUUAAAGUUGAUACAGCCAUCGAUAAAAUUGCAUUGCAUCCAAAGUCUCUAGUUCAGGUAUUAUAUUAGGGUUUGUAUUUUGCUCCCCUUUCUUUGCAACUGUGUUUUAACAUUGUGUAAAUGAUUCGCUUUUAGCAAUUUUGCUGCAUUUGUGAUUUUUGGUUUUUAUUUUUUCAUUUACUUUGACUCAUUGUGCACAAAAGCCUUACUACUACAAUUCAGUGUUAUCCUUCUAGAUCUUUCAUUUUACAUUCUCAAAAUUUAAUGGUAAAAUGUAUAAUGUAAACAGUAGCUUCCUGUAUUCAUAAUUUUUACUGCUAUGGGUUAGCUAUUCCUAUGCUAAAGGAAUACUUUUUAUUCUGAGCAAAAUUGUAUAUAUUUUGUAGGUGUUUCUUAUAGAAUACAUUUAGCCUUACUUCUGUAGAUAAUUAAAUAAAGGGACCAGCAUUCAUCUAGCAGAAAGUCGUAUUUAGUAUGCUCGUUACUAUUUAUAACGUUUACUUUAACAGUUCUAAGUGGGGUUGUAAUAUAGUUAAACUGAGCAUAAAUAGUAGUAAGCUUGAGCUUGAUUUGGAACUUGUGGCUUGAUAUUCGGUUUUAUUAAGUAUCAUUUGCUAAGCUCGAGCUCAGCUCGAGAUAAAUUUGAACUACUUGAGCUUGACUUGAUUAGCCUUGUUUACUAAAUUUCCAUACUCAAGCUUGAUUAACCUUUUGCCUUGAAAAAAAAUUAUAAUUAAAUCUAAGAUCAUACAAUUUUUGAAAAAAAAAACUAGAUAAAAAGCAUUCCAUUUGAAAAGCAUUACAAAGAAUAAUAUGGAUGAUAGUUUAAAGAUUGUAUUUUUGAUUUCUUUGUUUCUCAGAUUCUUAAUUUUGUCGUUUUUGUCUGUAUAAAUGUGUUAGUGUAUUCUGAUAGUUUCGUGUUAUCUUCAACUCCAAGCAAAUUUCAUCAAUUCAAUCGCUCUUCAUAAUCAUCUCUAUUUAUUUGAGUUUGACUGUUUCCUUAGAAAGGAGGAAUGAAUUAGUAAUAGUUGAGUAUUCUGGGCUUUGUUUUCUUAGGGAUAAUGUGAAUAAGAGCUGUAAGAUGCCUUAGGUAUUCUUUGUUUUCUUAGAGAUACUCCAAAACUAAUGUUAGGAUUAGCAUAAGGAUUAUAGGUAACCAACUUCGAAGAAUAUGCCUAAAAAAGUCUGAAUUUCGAAGGUUUUGAAAGCUAUUUAAGCUAAGCUUUAACUGCACCUAUUAGAUGAACAGAUUCCUCUGCUCUUUCUGGUUCAUAUUAAUAUAAAGACCUGCUUCAACAAUUCUAUACAAUUUUGCUUGUUGGGAGAUGUCAUUUUCUAUGGAAGUAUAUCAGAUUGUGAGGUAAGACAUCUUCAAUUCUGCAGCCUCAUGUAAUUCUUAUACGAUCAUCAGAUUUAGAUGGCAAAUUUGACUGAGUACCCAAUGUAUUGAUUGUCAAUUUAGGAAUGAUUUUAAUAUGGCAUAUAGGGGUUGGCUGUAUAAUAUGCACAAUGCAGUUUAUUUGAUACGCUUUUGUGAUGGUAACCAGCUCCUUAAAUCCAAAUUUGGUGGUGUUUAAAGCUCUAAUCACAAGAACAAGACAUGGUUGAGGCCCGUGGGUUAUGCACACCACUACAUUUUUAAUUCAUUACUUCUGAAUUUUUUAUGUGUGUGAGUGUUUGUUGGAUACGGAUACAUGAACGAUGUAUAUAUUGGAAUUUUUUUCGGAUAGUUCUAGUAAUAAAAAACAAAAAAAGAAUCUUUUAGGACAGUGUCCAGGUUACUUAGCUUAUGACAAAUAGCUAAAAAUUGCAGGAAAGUAUAUUUAUUUGUUAGCAAACCUGGUGCCUGGUUUAGUGUUGGCUUUAUUCUCUUACUAGAAGUCUGUUGCCAAGAGAAGAAUUGGUUUGUAUUGUAUGGUUGGUUUCCAUGAAUAGUUAUUCUAAUGUUUAUAUUUAUAUACUCUUCAUAUCUCAUCUACCAAAGGUGUUAUUCUAAUGUUUGUAUUUGUAUUGUAUGGUUGGUUUCCAUAAAUAGUUAUUGUCUGAGACACAGUAGAACUACAGUCAUGAGGCAGUAAAGGAUCAUGAUUGGUUAGGUUAUUGGAGGAAAUGCGUUUUGAGGGAAAGCUUUAUUCCAAGCAGGAACAAAUGUGUAAAUCAUAUGUAAGAACAUGAGACACUUAACAUGAUUAUGUGCAGAUUAUUGUGGGAAUUGCAGUCUCUAUGUUUUAUAUCCGCAAUCACAGAUGAAAUGAGUAUUUGAUCCUCAUCAUCUGCAGAGCACUGUUGUAUAUAGAUUGUAGGGUAGUUGCCAACUUACAAAGUGAUUUGACAUUUUAAUAGAAAGUGUGUAGUAGAUUAAUUUUGAAUAUAGUGAUUUUACG
rnacentral:lncRNA from 1 species